rnacentral:rRNA from 1 species
UACGGGAGGCAGCAGUGGGGAAUAUUGCACAAUGGGCGAAAGCCUGAUGCAGCUAUGCCGCGUGUAUGAAGAAGGCCUUAGGGUUGUAAAGUACUUUCAUCGGGGAGGAAAAACAAAACUAAUAAUUUUAUUUCUUGACGUUACCCGAAAAAGAAGCACCGGCUAACUCCGUGCCAGCAGCCGCGGUAAUACGGAGGGUGCUAGCGUUAAUCAGAAUUACUGGGCGUAAAGAGCACGUAGGUGGUUUUUUUAAGUUCAGAUGUGAAAUCCCUGGGCUUAACCUAGGAACUGCAUUUUGAAACUGAAAUACUAGAGUAUCGUAGAGGGAGGUAGAAUUCUAGGUGUAGCGGUGAAAUGCGUAGAUAUCUGGAGGAAUACCUGUGGCGAAAGCGGCCUCCUAAACGAAUACUGACACUGAGGUGCGAAAGCGUGGGGAGCAAACAGGAUUAGAUACC